GUCAAAGCCGCUGCAAGAGGGGAAGUUGCUACUGUGAUGAAUUCUGCCAUGUGGCACCAGACUGCCACCCAGACCACAGUGUCCUCUGCAACCCUGCUUCUCAGAUGACCAAGAUGGUGCUGCAGAUGGUGCUGAGGAUGGAGAACCCACCAAGCCCCGCUAGGAGCCACCUAGACUGGAUGCAGAGCAUGGAUUCUGGAUGUAUACAGAUGCUCUUCAUCUUAGGAAGGGGUUACGUCCCAAUAAACACGUGGCUAAAACCUUUGAAGAAGAAUUUAUUAUAUCCUACAAACCUGGGAGGCAGAGGUUGCAGUGAGCCAAGAUUGGGCCAUCGCACUCCAGCCUGGGCAAUAAGAAUGAAACUCUGUCUCAAAAAAAACAAAAGUUGGCCAGGGCUGGGCGUGGUGGCUCACACCUGUAAUCCCAGCAC
ensembl:lncRNA MUC20-OT1 MUC20 overlapping transcript